CCAAGAAGGUCGUUCUGAGGCAUCCAGUCCACUAUCAAAGUGUUGUUGCCCAGAGUGUCUGGUCUGCUGCCUUUAUACCUCCAGAUGACUUUCUGAGGAAGUUUAGCAAAAGCUGCAGCGAUCUCAUUUGCCAUGUCAGCAGGUAGUUCAUUCACAAAAGUCCCCAGAGACAUGAUGAUGACUCCAUGCUCUCCAGAACUCUGCACAAACUCCUCUAAAUGUUGAGGCAGAGGUUUUGCAGGUUUACACUGGAAUCCUCCCAUGUACACAACAUUAGGCAUUGUGGGACGAGGGAAUUCAAACACAAAGUCCACUCUCAUCAGCCAAAUGUCUGCAUCAAUCAAUAACUGGUUAAAAUCAUUAUUGGGUCCAAGAUAUUUGUCACAUAUUUUCUGAUAUAUCUGAUUGACCAGAUGUUUUUGUGUUUGGGUUAAUAUAUGUAAAAUCAUGUUUUUAA